rnacentral:tRNA from 1 species
GCGGAGGGAGCUCGACUUGGUUUGAGCAGUAGAUUGUGAAUCUAAAGGUUAUGGGUUCAAAUCCCAUUCUCCGCC